AUGCUAAAACAGGAGUAUCUAAACAGCGCUGCGCAUGAGAUAAAUGCCAAGGUGAAGAAAAGUGAAGAUGGUGACUCCAAAGAAUUUUGUGAUUUGGAUGGGGACACUGGAGAUUAUUGUGUCUCCAGUUCUGAUGAGGAGAUAUCAUCAGGUAGUCUGUUUUGUUCGUCUGAGGACAUGAUUGACUUUGAACUGUUUGAUGAGCGGGGUGAACAUGAUUAUGUGGCUGGAUUUUCCUCAUUGCCAUCGUUAGGCACUCCUCUGGAGAAGAAGCUUCCUGAGCCCGAGGCAAGCCACGACACUCAUGAAGAGAAGAAGAAGAAACCUGAGGCAAGUCAUAUCGGUGGCUCUUCUGAUAGCGCAGGGAUUGAGCAGAUUGAGCAUUUUAUCUCCAUGAGACAGGUCAAAAGAGGAAGAGUGAAAAGAAGCUGGGCCUGCAUAAGGUUCUCAAAUAUAACCAGUCCCGAAGAGACGGCCAUAUUUAUAAAUGAUCUGAGAAAUACAUGUGUGGACAUUGGGAUGGAUUUUACGACGGUGGAGACGAUAUCCGCCCACGCAGAUUGUGCUCUUCCGACCGAUAUAGAAUGGGCAUUGCGGGAGAUGCACGAAUUCAACGACGAAUGUCUCAAUGGAAAACAGCUGGGACUUCUAAUUGUGAUCAUGCCAGAUGCCAGAGAUUUUGAUGACAAAGUGGAAGAGGUGUGUAAAGAACUAGGAUUUACGUACCAUUGUUGUUUGCCUCAGGAUGUUAUGAUGCCAAGACAGAAGUAUCUAAACAGCGCUGCGCAUGAGAUAAAUGCCAAGGUGAAUAAAUUUCGUGAUUUGGAUGAGGACACGGGAGAAUAUGUUUCCAGUUAUGACGAGUAG
rnacentral:rRNA from 1 species